AUGGAACGCUGGCGGCAUGCUUUACACAUGCAAGUCGAACGGCAGCGCGGGCUUCGGCCUGGCGGCGAGUGGCGAACGGGUGAGUAAUGCAUCGGAACGUGCCCAGUAGUGGGGGAUAGCCCGGCGAAAGCCGGAUUAAUACCGCAUACGACCUGAGGGUGAAAGCGGGGGACCGAAGGGCCUCGCGCUAUUGGAGCGGCCGAUGUCGGAUUAGCUAGUUGGUGGGGUAAAGGCUUACCAAGGCGACGAUCCGUAGCUGGUCUGAGAGGACGACCAGCCACACUGGGACUGAGACACGGCCCAGACUCCUACGGGAGGCAGCAGUGGGGAAUUUUGGACAAUGGGGGCAACCCUGAUCCAGCCAUGCCGCGUGCGGGAAGAAGGCCUUCGGGUUGUAAACCGCUUUUGUUCGGGAAGAAAUCCUCUGGGCUAAUACCCCGGGGGGAUGACGGUACCGGAAGAAUAAGCACCGGCUAACUACGUG
rnacentral:rRNA from 1 species